rnacentral:rRNA from 1 species
CCUACGGGAGGCAGCAGUAGGGAAUAUUGCUCAAUGGGGGAAACCCUGAAGCAGCAACGCCGCGUGGAGGAUGAAGGUCUUAGGAUUGUAAACUCCUUUUGUUAGAGAAGCUUAUGACGGCAUGUAACGAAUAAGCACCAGCUAACUCCGUGCCAGCAGCCGCGGGAAUACGGAGGGUGCAAGCGUUACUCGGAAUCACUGGGGGUAAAGAGUGCGUAGGCGGGGUAAUAAGUCAGAUGGGAAAUCCUGUAGCUUAACUACAGUACUGCCUUUGAAACUGGUACUCUGGAGUGUGGGAGAGGUAGGUGGAAUGCUUGGUGUAGGGGUAAAAUGCGUAGAGAUCAAGAGGAAUACUCAUUGCGAAGGCGACCUGCUGGAACUUUACUGACGCUGAGGCACGAAAGCGUGGGGAGCAAACAGGAUUAGAUACCCUUGUAGUC